UGGCGAACGGGUGAGUAACACGUGGGCAAUCUGCCCUGCACUCUGGGAUAAGCCUGGGAAACUGGGUCUAAUACCGGAUAGGACCUUUAUCCUCAUGGGGUUUGGUGGAAAGUUUUUCGGUGCAGGAUGAGCCCGCGGCCUAUCAGCUUGUUGGUGGGGUAAUGGCCUACCAAGGCGACGACGGGUAGCCGGCCUGAGAGGGUGAUCGGCCACAUUGGGACUGAGAUACGGCCCAG
rnacentral:rRNA from 1 species